rnacentral:tRNA from 1 species
GGCGGCGUAGCUCAGCGGUUAGAGCAGUGGCUUCAUAAGCCAUGUGUCGGUGGUUCGAUCCCACCCGCCGCUA